ensembl:miRNA
GGUGCUGCCUGGUCUUGGGAAGGUUCUCAGGCUUCUGAGAAUUUGCAGAAGCAGAAGGCUGUGAGGUUCCCCUCUUCCUGGCAGCCCUA